UUAUAUUGGCGGUUGCCAUGCCCUGGCUAUAUGCUUUGGCUUUCCUGGACUAUUCGCUGUGGGAAGAACAUGUCAUUUGUAUAUUGUGCAUUUCUUCCUUCUUACUUCCUAGAUGCAGAACAACAAGAGCCACAUCCCCAAAUUCCUGUUCCAGGCCCUAGAGUAGCUGGAAAGCUCACAGACAACAAUAAGACAUUCUGCAGCCUUGUUCAUUGGAAAUACUAUCCGCCAUUACUGCAAUUUGUUGUCUGAAACAGUGAAUGAAGAUGACAUCUCCCUCCUGUAUGACGCUUUUCAGGAAGUGCCUUUGAAAUCAGACAGGACCACGUGGUACAUCCUCAGCAGACAUUAUAAAUGGUUGCAGAAGCUUGUAAAUCUCAUGUCGGGUUCUGCAUUCGACUAGGGAACCGGGACCGACACAGAAGACCUUUUUGUCCUGCUAUGACAUCUAGAGGCGAACAGGAGCCAAUUGAGCCCACCACUGAUCCCAUCUCUUGUGAGAUGGCAAAGCAGCUGUUGCAUGGGAAUGAGGAGACAGAAGAGGCAGAGCAGCAUGUGCCAGGGUGUACCAACCCCACAUAACCCCACAGUCUAGGCGGAGGAAGCCAAGCCCCUCCCCAGCCCUGCCGGACAUGCUCCAACUGGAGCACCCGUGUGAAAGGGAGCAGCUCAGCUCAGGCUAGGCAGACUGCUGAAAAUGGAGGAUGCACUCUGUAGGCUCCAGUCCAGAAGCAGCUGAAGCCCCUGACUGCAGAGCCCCAAGGCGUCGAGACCCAGCCGAGUCCCCAGGUGCCUGCAGACGUGCAAGGGAGAUCGGAGUCUCUGGGAGUUUCCCAUGCUGGGAGCCCUGAGACACCCAGCCCAUGGCCUAGAGACAUCUUGUAGGAAGUAACCUGGGUGAACUAGCCAUUGUCAUGCUGAGUGACAUCAGCAUGUUCUGGUUGGAUCCCCACUGACUCAAUAGCAAACACAUUGGCCAUGGACAAGGCCCUGGGCUAGGGCAAGGGGGAGUAAGGAGAGUCUGGGUCCCCCUGCCCUGGCUGCCAUCCAUCCGUGAGUGGCCGCCCACCUCCCCAGUGUGCCACUAGACUGCACAGCCCCAAGAGGAGGGGCAACCAUCUUGUCUCUGAACUCUCAGCCAAACAGCCCGGCACUGAAGGAUGGCUGCACGGACUCUGGCCAUUGGGCCACACAGCCCCGAUCGAGAGGGCAGCCGCAAGGACUCUGGUUGUUGGGCCACACAGCCGUGACGGAGAGGACAGCUACACGGACUCUGGCCAUUGGGCCACACAGCCCCGGUGAAGAGGAUGGCCACACGGACUCUGGCUGUUGGGCCACAGAGCCCCGCCAUAGAGGACAGCCACACGGACUCUUUUCUUUGGGCCGUACAGCCCCAACGGAGAGGACUGCUGCACUGACUCUGGGUGUUGGUCCACACAGCCCUGAGUGGGAGGGCAGCCAUUUUGACUCUGGCCAUAAGGCCAUACCACCCUGAGGCUAAGGGCAGUUAUUUAGUUUCAGCCAUGGGACC